UUAGAAUUAAUCCUACCAAUCAAUCAAACCAUAUUGUCAACUUUGUAUCCCCAAACAGAAGUCUAAAGGUUUUAGCUCAUAAUUGAAGUAAAUAACAGCAAACAAACAAAGUCAAAUUGUUUAACCAUAAUGAUAAAACAAAAGAAUAAGUGGAAUGAUGAAAUUUUGCCUCAAUUAUUCUUCGGGAUUGAAUUCUAGCUUCUCUCGUCGUCUUCUAGGGUUUUUCUGCCUGCUCAAUCGCGACUAAACUCUUCUGAAUCGUUCCAGAAUUCCUCUCCAUCGUUCUGAGGAGCUAUCUCUAUAUAUACGAAUCGACUCGUCGAGUCCAUCUCUUAGUCCCCGUAUUGUGAUAAGUCUCUGGGAUCCCGAGUCAUUAUCUUCUCGAUUCUUCGAUCAGACUCGCCGAGUAGUCGACCCUACUCGCCGAGUAGGUGUUAUUUUUGGUGUUUUUCUUCUUUAUUCCAUUCUUGAUCUCUCAACCGCUUCUCCUGCUUCCUUCUGCUUCCGAGCUUCAUUUUUGGACUGAAAAUAUAAUUCAAACACUUUUAAGUACCUUUUGUCCAUAAAAUGCAAUAAUUUAGCUAAUAAAUGAAUAAAAAUCUAUACUUAAUAUGAACUAAAUAUGCACAUAUCAAAAUACCCCACACUUGACUUUUGCUUGCCCCCAAGCAAAACUAAAUUUUAAAACAUUAGAAUCAUAUAUGACAACUCCAAUCUAACCCAGCCAUUAUGCCAAGACCGCAACGCAUGCAUUUGUGUCUAAAAUUUUUCCUAAGGACCUCCCAUACUCCAAAUACUCACAAUCCUCAUAAACAUUCGCCCACUCACCCCGAACUAUGCUCAUUUUAUGCAACCCUCCGAAUCCGUCCGCAGAAAACCUCUUACCCUCAAAGUAUUUUUAAUUGAGCAACCCAAGCAUACAUAAUCUAGAAUUACACUUUUCGAUACCACAUUGGAGCUCUUUGGAAUUCUUCACUUCUUUGAUAAUUUGAUCUUUGAUCUCUUUGAAUUCACCACCUUUAUUGAUUUUUGGUAUCUUCAACUUUUUUGAACUUCUUGGAAUUUUCAUCUUCUAAUUUCAUUUUUGACUUUGAUGCUCCAAAAUUCUUACAACUUUUCUUGUAAUUCUCUCUUUUUUUUUCUUACAUGUACCUCACUUUUUUCACUCAAAUCCCUACAUGCUUAAGCAGGGGCGCUCAAUCUCAACCUUUAUUGGCUAACGAUAACAAUCUUCCUGGAUACAUUUCAGGUUCAGGCUGCUAAACAUAUUGCAUCCCUCGGGCUGAGCAAGGUCGUGUUUUUGUCCCAUGAUUUCACUGGAAUAAGGAAGCCACAAAUGCACUAGAACGUAUAUAGGCUCAACUAAACAUUUGGGUCUUCAUGCAAUUAUCAACACAAUUCUAACAUGGAAUCCUAAUUUUACUUUUACCAAAAUUUCCUAAAUUAAAUCCUAAGUAAUAUUUUUGGUAUGCAACAAAUAUUUUUAAAAUUAGUCUAAAUUAAGAUUCUAAAUUUUCUAAUAUGUAACCAACCCCCUACCCCACACUUAUUUUAUGCAAUGCCCUCAUUGCAUAUUAUGCAAAAAAAAUAAAAAUGCAAAUAUAUAGAGGGAAUUGGAACAAACUCCCCUGGGGUAGCAGUCGAUAGGUUGAUACUCUCUUCUUUAGCUCCUUCUUCAAUUGACUUCAGCCAUGGGAACAGCUCAUCCAUGACUUGGGUGUCAAAAUCUCAUGUGGCAGCUCCAAAUAUGCAGGGGAAACAGUGUAAGAUCUUUAAGAAUCGAUAUGGAGGAAUAAGUGGUCAAUUGGUACACUCAUCAGCAUCAAAUCAGCAGUCCUCUCGGUAUAAAAAUGAAUGACUCGUCGAGUCAUAUAUGUGACUCGUCGAGUAUAAAUGCGGACAUCUUCGUAUGUGUGAGAAUACAAGGCGACUCGUCGAGUCAGUUUAGUGUACUUGACGAGUAGACCGCUGGACGAAAAAAAAUUGGAAUUCUGCAUUUGUUCCAGCCUGCAAUAGAUCUUCAAAACUUUCUCCUCACUUCUGGACUCAGUCGCUCAUGUCCCUAAGGACCGGACUCGAUACUUUGACUCUCAUGCUUCCCGUUCUUGACUCUCUAUCACUCUUAUAACCCUUUUUUACUCUAUAACUUUAACCCUCCUAUGCAAGCAUUCCUAAUUCAAUUCUGAAAAAUAAUCAAAGCAAACACACAUUAAACAAAACAGUAAAAAGUCUUAACACAUUCAAACAAACCAAAUAAAAAACAAAAACAUAAAAAUUGAAAAUUGUCUAAUAAAAAUGCAAAGAAAUUAAUCCUCCUCCUUGUCAUGAUCCGUUGCUGUUCCACUUCCUCCCGCACCACUCCUUCUUGCACUAAUCACCUCGUCCCACGAUGGAAUGUACGGAAAGUUACCGCCAUCAAUAUGCGGUAUGUUGAAGUGAUCGAAAAGCCGAAUAUGUGAUUGAUUGCUAAAAUUAAUGCCCCGCGCCAUUUGAUCUUGUAGCCGCCUCAUCUCCACAUUGUACCAAUCCAUUGGUACCUCUUCAUUAUCAACCGGAAUCACCGGCGGCUCUUCCUCCACAUCCCGCUCCCUCCUCGAACGAACCCUCCUUCCCGGUGCUUCGGGACCAACUACCGGAUCAUCAUGCGGGAUAGCAUAAUGACCACCACCAUAGUCUUCAAUAAUCCUGGCCCGCUGGAAAAGAAUUGGAUUGAAUGGAGAUGUAGGAAUCAUCGUCAUAAAGUUCCAUGCACCACGGGUCAUCAACCCAAACGAGUUGGCUAGCCGGGUGAUAAACAUACCACCAUUGAUUCGAGAAGUUUUGUGAUCCUUAACCGCACCCUCCGAUAGAUAUGAAGCCAAACACCAUGGAAUAUUGCAAAAAAUGUCGGGUGUGAUAAUGCUCCAUAAAUAGAAGACAUCAAGGUUAGAAACCUUGUCAUCAUCCUUCCUUUGGUUAAUAGUGGAUGAAAUGAGACGAUGAAUAAGGCGGUGCGUAGGUGAUCGGAUGCUCCCCUCUUGUGCCGAUUUUGGAAUAUAAACUUUGUUGCCAAUCGUGUUCCACCACCCCGUGCUAGUAACUCCAUCGGGAAACACCAUGUGGGAUUGCCCCAAAAAGGCCCGAAAGAUAUCUGUUGAGACCAAGGGCUGGUCAUAAAUUCCCAAUCGACAGGCAAGGUCGAGCACGGAACAUUGAUGAAAUUCACCCCCAAGACAGAAACUGAAACUUGUUGGGUGAUAACAAUCCACUCCCCCCGUGAAAGAUACUGUGGAGAAGAACUCUAGGCAUAGCUCCAAAUACACCGGCACUUGAAUUCGAAAGACCCGGCUCCACCCAUCACGAAUCAUUGUUUCUCCUUCAUAGGUAAACUCCUUUAAAAGAUACGGAGCUAACUCCUCUUCAUAGCGUAUUCCCUGCAACCAAUCCCAAUCUAUCCUAUUGGGCACGUAUAUUUCCUUCUUCCUUAUGUCGGCUAACUUCUUCUUCCACUUCCGCAUUGUUGAAGCGGACUCAAUUUGUGGGAAAUUUAACCAAGGAAAGUCCCCUUGGUGUCCCCCAGAACUUUGCCCCCUGCUGAACAUUCUUUCUGCAAAACAAAGAUACAAAACCUAGAAACAUAGAUUAUAAUUAAAAAAAAACGUCAUGCACAUGUUUCUCGACUCGACUCGGCAAGUCGCAAGAACUGCACGAGUCAGUCGGCGGGUCGGUCUAAAUUGGACCAGGAAAUCUCAAAAUUUCUUCAAGGGUUUUGUCUAGACACAUGUUUAAUAAGGUAUUAGGUAAGAAUAAGCAUGCAAAACAUCAUAAUUCAUGAAAAAUCGAAACCCUAGAAAUUUAAUAAUUUUCAAAAUCGGUUUUUUCUAUGCAAUUUCCAUCAUAGAUAGCCUUAAAAUCAUACUUUUAACAGAAAAGAGGAAGAAAUUUGUUACCUUUUGUGAUGAAACUUGAAAAUUUUGAAGAAUAAUGGAAGAGGAACACUUGAAUGCUUGAGAAAGAAUUGAGGGAGAGGCGCACGACGAGUGUGUGUGAAAAAGAAACUGAUUCAUUAGGGUUAAAACCCUAGUUACCGGUUAUAAAAGUAAUUUCAAUAUUUUUUUUCUAUAAAUAAUACCGAUUCGUCGAGUCGGGGUCAGACUCGGUGAGUCUUUUGCAAAAAAAAAUUCAAAAUUUAUAAACUUUUGUCAAUUAUUUAGAAAAGGAAAUUUAUUUCAUCCCACACUUAGUCCAUACGCACUCUCAAGCAGACAUGUCCGAUGCAUUGGAGAAUUAAAAGUCUAAAAACGAAGGAAAGUUUUCAAACAAAACUAAAAAAAAGUAAAAGAAAGCAAACUCUAAAUAACGGGUUGCCUCCCGCCAAGCGCUUCUUUUUAAGGAGUCGUUAGCUGGACUCCUUCCCGUCUACGUCUCGUCAUCUUCCAGCAUCGGGAAUGCACGUCUAGUCUUUUGUGGUUUGUACUUCGUUUUAUAAGCGUGAAUCUUCUUUUUGUAAGCCCGUUUUGCUUCCUCUCUCUUCUUUUUCAUAACAUCAUUCUCAGCUGCUUGGGCUUCCAUUCUCCUCUUUUUCUUCUUCACCCCAUUCGUUUUCACCUUCUUUUGCACUUCUUUUCCUUCAAACUGAAUUACUUCGUAUUUUGUGAAGGUGCGUGCUCUAGGUUUGGUAAUGGAUGGUUGAUCAGCUUUCACACUCCUUUCUUUUGCCUCCCCUUCUUUUUCUGUGCUCACCCCAUCUUCAAGUGUAAUUGCAUUAAGACAUGCUAUAUAGACGUGUUGAACUUCCGUAUCCAUGUUUUCUUUUUCUGUUUGUUCUCCUAAAAAAGGAGGAAAAUUUUCCAAAUCCAGAUUAUACAGAGGACUAGCAACCAGCAGAUCCAAACCGUCCAAGUUAUUAUCAAAUUCGACUGGACUCUUCGAGUCCAGUAAAGUGACUCAGCGAGUCUGAUCGUAUUCCACCAUUUCUUGGGUGUUUUCUGAGUCGGCUUCUUCCAGUAGCUUUUCUAACUCCUCCAAGUCCUUGUUAACAUCUCCAUCCUCCCCAAAAUGUAGCAGAAACUUGGUUGGAUCUUCUUAUUGCAAAAGUUCAAGUUCUUUUUGUAAUAUCUCAUCAUCCAAAUGGAUAAAUGAGAUGUUUUCUUUUUCUUUCCUCUUCUUGCUUGGCUUCUGGUAAAGCUUUAAAUAUUACAGACUCAUCACCCACCCUCAAUGUUAAUGUAGACUCGCAUACAUCAAUUAAGGCACAUGCGGUGUUUAAAAAUGAUCUCCCCAAAAUGAUUGGAAUUUUGGGGUCUUCUUCCAUGUCAACCACCACAAAGUCUACCGGAAAUAUAAACUUGUCAACUUUAAUAAGGAGAUCCUCACAAACGCCUUGUGGAUGAAUUAUUGUCUUGUCUGCCAAAUGGAUCUUCAUAUUUCCCGGUCUUGGCUCCGGUAAAUUCAACCUCUUAAAGAAAGUGAAAGGCAUCAGAUUGAUGGUUGCACCCAAGUCGGUCAAUGCUUGGGUGACAACUUCAUUACCAAACUGGCACGGAAUUAUAAUAUUCCCCGGAUCGGCCUUCUUUUCGGGUAGCUCACCCAAUAGUAUAUCCGCGACUUCAGCCAAAUCUUUCCUAGAAGCAAAAAGACCUUUUAGCAAGUUGAAGUAUUUUGGUGUCUGGAGCAUCGUUUCCACAAAUGGCAUAUUAACUUGGAGGGCUUUAACAUGCUUCAUAAAGGUUCUAUAUGCUUCAACUUUUUCUGCAGGCAUGCCUUUAAUUGGUUAUGGCAAAGGAGGAUUAUAUGGCUUUAAAGGACUGACAGUUUUAUCAUUCACGCACGGACUCGUCGAGUCCAUUAGAGGGACUCGGUGAGUCAGGUCGGGUUUUGCUGGAGCCGACUCUUCUGCCCUUUUUGUCUUCCUCUUGGAGAUCCUCUGUGCAUCUGUAAAAAUUUCUUCUUUACUGGAGGUCACUGCACUCACAUUCUCCAUUCUCGGAUUGGUUUCGGUAUUACUUGGAAGUUGACCCGGUCUUCUUUCGUUCACUUGGUGUGCAAGCUGUCCCAGCUAUUUCUCAAUGUUGAGAAUGGAUGCCUGCUGAUUCCUUAGAAUGUUUCUGGUCUCAUGUAUUGCAGCAUCGUGAUCAUUGUGUCUCUUUUUGGACGCGACUAUGAAUCUAGUGAAUAUUUCUUCCAAAUCAGCUUUCUUUUCUACCAGUUCUUCUCUUUGAUAUAGUCCCCUCUCCUUCUGCUUGUAUUUUUCCUCCUUGGCCUUCUUAUACUCUUCGUAUGGGAGCCAUUCCCUCUUAGGUUUUCACCAAUUCUCGUCGUAUCGAUCGCCACUUGAAUAGAAGACUUGAGCUUUCUUAUUUCCAUUCUCAUCCAAAUCACAAUCCUUGGUGAGAUGGGGCCCUCUACAAUUUUCACAUCCCACCCUCAUAGCAUGGAUUGUUUGAUCCAUUUUUGUCAUUCUUCUAUCAAGACUAUCAAGCUUAGCUAUCACCGCCACUAUGCUAUCAUUUGUCGCGUUCACUACUCCCCGACUUACUUCGUUUCUUGGACUGUGGUAUUCUCUAGAGUGCUUAGAGAAUUCUUCAACUAGCUCCUUGAUUACCGGGGGCACCUUCUUCGUGAGUGGACCUUGAGAAUCUAGCAAUUGCCUUAUGGUGACAUUAACUCCAUCGUAUAAAAUGGAGACCUCUUGUUGGCUAUUAAGGUCGUGAUGUGGGCAAUUUCUAAGAAAACUCUUGUACCUUUCCCAUGCUUCAUAAAGAGAUUCUUCAGGCUAUUGCUCAAAGUUGGCAAUUGCUUUCUUUAGCUUGGCUAUUUUGGAGGGCGGACAAAAGUGAUCUAUGAACUCCUCUUUCAUCUUGGCCCAUGUGGUGACUGAUCCGGGAGGAAGUGACUUUAACCAAUCCUUUGCAGCUCCUUUGAACGUGACUGGGAGCAUGAAAAGAAGCUGGGUCUCGCGGGGGACAUUCGGUACAUUGAAGUAGUCGGCCGCAUCAUUCACUUCGUCCAAGUGUUUGUAGGCGUCUUCGUGAUCCUUCCCAUAAAAAGGAAUCUCCUUGAGUUGAGUGAGAAUAUGGCCUUUUAGUUCGAAAGUGGCGGUUGCGGGAAUUGCGGGCUGCACAAGUCCCGGGCCGGUGUCAUCGUGCAUCCUCUUCUUCCAUUCCCCCAUGGGGACUUCAUCGAUAUUAGCCAUAGUGGUGACUAAAUCGUCUUCAAAAUCGGAGUCGUGCUCGAAUGUGGGUUCUUCUUCUUCCUCGGUCUCGUAUUCGAUAUCUUCUUGAAUUGGGUCUUCAAUAGUCAAAGAGGCACUGGAUGCUCCGGAUUUGCUGCUCCUCUUCUUGCUGAACAUGGACUUGAGGUUUUUGAGUGGCGAUUUCUUUGAAGAAGCGGAUUCUCCAAUGGCUUUGCCUUUGCUCUUCCUUAGUGCGGAUUUCGGGUCUUCAAGAGGGGGGACCAGAGGUGUAUCAGAUCCUCGGGUCAUGAAACAACUGUAAAUAAAAUAGAAAAAUGCGUAAAAGGAACAAAAAUAAAAUAAAAUAUUAAAACUGAAACAGCGAUGUACUCGCCGAGUCGGCACGAGUGCACUCGGCGAGUUCAAGGCAAAAAACAGAAAAUUUUUCUAGUUACUCUAAAAAUGGAAUUUUAUUAAAACUAAUUCUACUUACUGAAUUGCUUCUUAAAUAACUUUGUGUGAGAUAAAUCUCACACAAAGGAUCGAUUAAAUUAGAAUUUAAUGUUAAUUUUUAGAACCGUUCCCCGGCAACGGCGCCAAAAACUUGAUGUGUGCAAACUCACUUAGUUUUAAACUUACUUUUAAUUAUCAAAUAACACACAAAAGGCAGUGAACCUAUCAAUUGUGGUAUAGUUAAAUAAGCAGGGUAUCGAUCACAGGAAACGGCAAAUUAAAAUUAAAAACUAAUUUUAUCUAAGUUAAUUAAUAAGUAGGGGUUUUAUCUAGUUUUACAAGACUAGAAACUUACUAACUAUUACUUACUUAAAAACUAGAAAACAAAAUACUAACUAGAUUCAAUAAAUGGAAGGGAACUUCUGUUUAGUUCAACUUAGUUGAUUCUAUGGUUGAUUUCAAGGUAAUGGUGCAAUGGAUUAAUUCUUUCGUUGGUUACCGAUUCAAGUGAUUAGAUUCGCAUUCACUACACUAAUCCUUAGCAAAUAAACUAACUUAAACAGUGGCCAGUUGUCUAAUUUAAUUAGAUUUACUAGAUUAAUUAUUCGGGUUAAUUUAGACUUGNAAUUAUUAUUCACAUACAAGGUUCUUUAGCAAGCUAAAAUAACAAAAAUUCACCAACUUAGAAUUAAUCCUACCAAUCAAUCAAACCAUAUUGUCAACUUUGUAUCCCCAAACAGAAGUCUAAAGGUUUUAGCUCAUAAUUGAAGUAAAUAACAGCAAACAAACAAAGUCAAAUUGUUUAACCAUAAUGAAAAAACAAAAGAAUAAGUGGAAUGAUGAAAUUUUGCCUCAAUUAUUCUUUGAGAUUGAAUUCUAGCUUCUCUCGUCGUCUUCUAGGGUUUUUCUACCUUCUCAAUCGCAGCUAAACUCUUCUGAAUCAUUCCAGAAUUCCUCCCCAUCGUUCUGAGGAGUUAUCUCUAUAUAUAUGAAUCGACUCGUCGAGUCAGGUGGCGACUCGUCGAGUCCAUCUCUUAGUCCCCGUAUUGUGAUAAGUCUCUGGGAUCCCGAGUCAUUAUCUUCUCGAUUCUUCGAUCAGACUCGCCGAGUAGUCGACCCUACUCGCCGAGUAGGUGUUAUUUUUGGUGUUUUUCUUCUUUAUUCCAUUCUUGAUCUCUCAACUGCUUCUCCCGCUUCCUUCUGCUUCCGAGCU
rnacentral:lncRNA from 1 species